UACGUAGGGUGCGAGCGUUGUCCGGAAUUACUGGGCGUAAAGCGCACGUAGGCGGCUUUGUAAGUUAGAGGUGAAAGCCCGGAGCUCAACUCCGGAACUGCCUUUAAGACUGCAUCGCUUGAAUCCAGGAGAGGUGAGUGGAAUUCCGAGUGUAGAGGUGAAAUUCGUAGAUAUUCGGAAGAACACCGGUGGCGAAGGCGGCCCGCUGGGCGAGGAACGCUCGGCUAAGAGCCGGCGUGGACG
rnacentral:rRNA from 1 species